rnacentral:rRNA from 1 species
GACAGAGGGUGCAAACGUUGUUCGGAAUUACUGGGCGUAAAGCGUGUGUAGGCGGCUACGUAAGUCGGAUGUGAAAGCCCCGGGCUCAACCCGGGAAGUGCACUCGAUACUGCGUAGCUUGAGUACCGGAGAGGUUGGUGGAAUUCUCGGUGUAGAGGUGAAAUUCGUAGAUAUCGAGAGGAACACCGGUGGCGAAGGCGGCCAACUGGACGAGUACUGACGCUGAGACACGAAAGCGUGGGGAGCAAACAGG